UACGUAGGGGGCAAGCGUUGUCCGGAUUUAUUGGGCGUAAAGAGCGUGUAGGCGGCUGGGUAGGUCUGCUGUGAAAACUCGAGGCUCAACCUCGAGACGUCGGCGGAAACCCUCCAGCUAGAGUCCGGAAGAGGAGACUGGAAUUCAUGGUGUAGCAGUGAAAUGCGUAGAGAUCAUGAGGAAGACCAGUGGCGAAGGCGGGUCUCUGGACAGUUCCUGACACUGAGGCACGAAGGCCAGGGGAGCAAACGGG
rnacentral:rRNA from 1 species